AGCAUAAAAACACACUUUUACAUUCAUAAUAAAGAAAAUUUUCAUAACAUAUAGUAUUUUCUAAAAAAUUCACACAAUAAUCACCGCAAGGGCUAACAUCUAGCUUUCCAAAGAAAUGAUAAUCACACAUCCCUUUUGCAUCAUGGAGAAGCAACAAAAAAAUAGAAAACUAAACUCCCGAAUGACUAUGAGCUACUAAUCCUUAAAAAUCAAUGUUUCAUAAUUGAUAAAGUAACUCUUAGUAGAAGUAACAAGCCUUCCAUAUAGUCAUAUAGCUGGUUCUUCUUUAAAAGCAUCAAAGUGCCGACUUAUAGUCGAAUAAUUCACAUUUUUACACAACACUAUAAAGUUUAAUUUACUGAGGAUUAGCUCAGUAAAAACUAAAAAUAACUUACUAUCAAACCCCCAAUAGUAGGCUUAAAAGCAGCCAUCAAAUAGCGUUUUAGCUAAUAAAAUUUUUUAUUAAAUAUAUACUUUACAUUAUUUUAAACUUAAAGAAGUUUAACAAAAAACCUCACAUGUUAAUAAACAGGCAUUCUAUUAGUAUUAAACUACAUUUACAAAUCAAAACUUUAAAAAGAUCUGACUCAAUAAAUCCUACAUCUGUAAAACUACACAAAGCGAAUUCAGCAAACAAAUUCCCUGCCUGUUUAUCAAAAACAUCGUCUUUUGACCAUAUAAAUAAAAGAUAAUGCCUGCCCAGUGAAUUUUAAACGGCCGCGUUAGCGUGAGCGUGCUAAGGUAGCGUAAUAAUUAGCCUUUUAAUUGGAGGCCAGUGAAUGGCAAGACUAGGAAUGCCUGUACUUUGUGUACAAAAAAAACUUUUCAUCUAAGUGAAAAGACUUAGAUAAUGAAGGAAGACGAAAAGACCCCGCGGAACUUUACCUUUUCUAGUACCUCUGUCUACAAACUUAAAGCUACAUAAGGUUUGAUUGGGGCAAUCUUGGAACCAACAAAGCUUCCAAUUUUUUUAAAACAACAUUUAAAAUUUACUAAAGACCAAAAAGUAGUUACCCCGGGGAUAACAGCGUAAUUCAACUUAAGAGUACAUAUCGAAAGUUGGGUUUGCGACCUCGAUGUUGGCUUAAGGAUAUCCACAUUAGUGCAACCGCUAUGACAGGACAGUCUGUUCGACUAUUAUACCCUUACACGAGCUGAGUUAAGACCGGCGCAAGCUAGGUUGGUUUCUAUCUCCUUUAUACAAAAAUCUUCUUGAUUGUACGAAAGGACCCCAAGAGGUGCAGCUAACAAAAGCACAUACUAAAUAUAAACUACAAUAAUUCAAUAACC
rnacentral:rRNA from 1 species